rnacentral:rRNA from 1 species
UACGAAGGGGGCUAGCGUUGUUCGGAAUUAUCGUGGGCGUAAAGCGUCGCGCAGGUGGUCUUUCAAGUCAGUGGUGAAAGCCCGGAGCUCAACUCCGGAAAUGCCAUUGAAACUGUAAGACUUGAGGAUGAGAGAGGUGAGGUGGAAUUCCCAGUGUAGAGGUGAAAUUCGUAGAUAUUGGGAAGAACACCGGUGGCGAAGGCGGCUCACUGGCUCAUAUCUGACGCUCAGGCGCGACAGCGUGGGGAUCAAACAGG